rnacentral:rRNA from 1 species
AAAUUGAAGAGUUUGAUCAUGGCUCAGAUUGAACGCUGGCGGCAGGCCUAACACAUGCAAGUCGAACGGUAACAGGAAACAGCUUGCUGUUUCGCUGACGAGUGGCGGACGGGUGAGUAAUGUCUGGGAAACUGCCUGAUGGAGGGGGAUAACUAC